rnacentral:rRNA from 1 species
UACGAAGGGUGCAAGCGUUACUCGGAAUCACUGGGCGUAAAGCGUGCGUAGGCGGUUUCUUAAGUCUGUCGUGAAAGCCCUGGGCUCAACCUGGGAAUGGCGAUGGAUACUGGGAGGCCAGAGUGUGAUAGAGGAUGGUGGAAUUCCCGGUGUAGCGGUGAAAUGCGUAGAGAUCGGGAGGAACACCAGUGGCGAAGGCGGCCAUCUGGAUCAACACUGACGCUGAGGCACGAAAGCGUGGGGAGCAAACAGG